rfam:Hordeum vulgare subsp. vulgare, WGS project CAJW01000000 data, contig: morex_contig_73020
CGCUAUAAAAAAUCAUGCAUUGGAAGGAUGCCUGGGCAUUGAGAAGGAAGGACACUUUCCCAAGAGAAAGGCUAUGGGGAGAGAUUAUUUUGUGAUCCAUGGAUCUCCGAUCGGGAAACCACAUCCAAGCUCCGUCGCUAGCCUACGCUCUCCGGGCUUUUCAAACUUAGCGAACUCAAACAUCUGAGUAGCUAAAGGAAGGAAAAUCAAUCAAGACCCCAUAAGUAGCGACAGGCGAGAGCGAUACAAGGGUUUUCAUCACAACAAAUCCAAAUUGGUUUCAUUCGAUUUGUUGUGGAUUGGAUGAUGGAAAAACCAGCAAGCAUAGUCAGAAAAGUUGCCAUAGCGUGCCCUAUGGAGUUGUACAAAGUCAGCAAUUGUUUUGGGGUGUAAGCAUAGGAAACACAUGAUUGAUGACGGGGUGGGGCGCAUAAUGAACUGGUUUUGUAAAAAGAUUGGAAAUUCCGGCCAAAGAAGGUGAUAGCCCUGUUCAUUCGUUCCCAUGGUUCGAUCCUUCUGAGUAAAACACGACAUGUAUGAAUGAUGAUCAGUUUUACGCGAGAAAGGAGGACCACCCUCUAAGCUUAAGUAUUCCUCAAUGACCGAUAGCGUACAAGUAACAUGGGGGAAAGGUGAAAAGAACCCCAACCGGGGAGUGCAAUAGAGAACCUAAGAUCCAAUGCGAUCAAUCAGUCGAAGGAGUGGAGCACGGGCGCACUCAGUUUUAGAGCGUACCUUUCGCAUGAUGGGUCCGCGAGGAAAUGGAACAUCGGCUUAUAUGUAGGCACUUUCCAGAGGUGGAAGAUUUACGUUCUUCCUAUUUUACCCAAACUGAUCGAUCUAAACAUGAGCAUGUUAAAGAGAUCUCUAACAGACCUUGGAGGACUGAACCCACGUAUGUGGCAAAAUACGGGGAUGACUUGUGGCUAGGGGUGAAAGGCCAACCAAGAUCGGAUAUAGCUGGUUUUCCCCGAAAUUUAUUUGAGUAGAGCAUAUGAUGUUGAUGGCCCGAGGUAGAGCAUUCAACGGGCUAGGGUGGCCCCCAUUUCGCUUUACCAACCCCAGGGAAACUCCGAAUAUAGGUCAUCAUCCUUAGUAUAGAUACACUGAUUGGGUGGUAAGAUCCAAAGUGGAGGGGGAAACAACCCAGAUCGUACGCUAAGGUCCCUAAGCAAUCAUUUAGUGGUAAAGGAAGUGAUCGAGCAUGACAACCCGGAGGUGGGCUUGGAAGCAGCCAUCCUUUGAAGAAAGUGUAAUAGCUCACUAGUUUAGCUCCAUUGCACCAAAAAGUCUCAAGGUUCAAGUGAUUCACCAAAGCGAUGAGACGUUGAAAGAAGCUUUUUCAAGUGUGAGUAGUGGGACAUUCUAUCAAUCGGGGAAGGUUUUUGGUGACAAGACCUGGAGAUAUAAGAAGUGAGAAUGAUGACAUAAGUAACAAGAAACCCUGUGGAAAACAAGAUCGCCUGCGAGUGGAAGGCUUUCUGCGUUCAGAUAAUCUACGUGGAGUGAAUCGGUCCCUAAGGAACACUUGAAAGGGCUGCCAUCUGAUGUGUACACAAAAGUGAUGAAGUUUCUUUGACUACUGAACCAUGCCUGGAUCAUUGGAGCAAAUUGGAUGACCAGGCCAAGGGCUGCCCCCUCUUCCCCUCACUCUCCUUUCCUUAAUAUUCAUCAUUGAGUCAUCAAAGGCGUCAACUAAUUCACAGGGGCUCAGAUGGCCCGGUCGCCCUUCGCUACUGGUGCUUCCAAAGGCAAAACUCUUGUCUUUGGCGACCAGCAAACGGAGGGCUAAAACCUGUAGUUUUGAAGCAAGGGAUGUGUGCGAACGCCGUUGCGCUUCUGUGCACGCGCAUACAUUUUCUUGCUAGGGUGGACACAUAUUUAUCUCUAAAGGCGAACAAAAAGAAGUGGGUGAACACUCGGCCGAGCGGACGAACAUGCGGGCUCUGGCUCCGCGCAACUCCUGACACCUUUCAAAGCACUUUCACGUGGGAACCAAAGUCGUCUUGCCGACCUCCUUCCUUUCUCAUUUAAGUCAUACCCUUUUUCAUCUUCCGUAGGGGCAUUUAGUCUUUUGACUAGAGUAGAGUUCAUGAGAGAGGAGAGCAUACCACACGCCAUACUCGCGAGGAUCUUAAUAGUCGGUCGCAACAGUUAUCAUAGUCAAGGACAGUUGAAACUUCUAGGAAAAACUUCAAAUUGGGAGGGCGAUCCUCCCGGUGAACUGACCGUACCCCAAACCAACAUAGUUGAACAAGUAGAGUAUACUAGGGCGCAUCGAGAGAGCCAUGUCGAAGGAACUCGCCAAAAUGACCCCAUAACUUCGGGAGAAGGGUGCUCUUCUAUGUUCUAAUUAGGAAAGCGGCACAUACCAGGGGGUAGCGACUGUUUAUUAAAAACACAUGACUCUGCUAAGUGGUAACUUGAUGUAUAUAGUGUGACACCUGCCCGGUGCUGGAAGGUCAGAUGGAGAAGUGUGAUAAGCUUUUAAUGGAAGCCCUGGUAAACGAUGGCAGUAACUCUAACUGUCCUAAGGUAGCAAAAUUCCGUGUCGCAUAAGUAGCGACCUGCACUAAUGGUGUAACAAUUGCCCCGCUGUCUCUGACAUGGACCCGGUAAAAUUGAAUUCUCCGUGAAGAUGCGGAGUACCAACGUCUGGAUGGUAAGACCCCGUGCACCUUGACUAUACCUUCGAAGUGGCAACCUUGAUCAAAUGUAUAGGAUAGGUCGGAGGUGGAGACACACAACGACCAAUCUUGAAAGACCACUCUUUCAUCUGAGGGGCUCUCACGUAAUGGAGGUGUGCGAAGGUAGGCUCAAGUAUUGAUUCUUCUCAUAAGCGUAAUGGUAUAAGAUUUCCUGACUCUGAGACCGACAGGUCAAACAAAGAUGAAAGUUGACCAUAGGGAUCUAGGAGUCCCGUUUGGAAGGGCUCUCACUCAACGGAUCAAAGGUACACCGGGGAUAACAGGUUGAUAACUCCCAAGAGCUCUUAUCGACAGAGUCGUUUGGCACCUUGAUAUCGACUCAUCACAUCCUGGGGUUGAGGAAGGUUCUAAGGGCUCGGUUGUUCACUGAUGAAAGUGGUACGUGAGUUGGCUUUAGAACGACGUGAGACACUUCAGUUCCUAUCUACUGUUGGUGUUAAAGGGAGAACUGUGUGGAGCCAUCCCUAGUACGAGAGGACUGGGUUGGUUCAACCUACGGUGUACCAGUUGUUAUGCGAAUAGAAGCGCCGGACAGCUAAGUUGGUAUGAAGAAUUGCUGCGCUGUGGGAAAUCCUUCUCUAUACAAGUUUUUUUUGACCAACUAUUGUAGGGAA